rnacentral:tRNA from 1 species
GCCCCUGUAGUUCAAUGGAUAAAACGUCUCUCUCCUAAGGAGAAGCUCCAGGUUCGAGUCCUGGCGGGGGCACCA